UGAGGAAUAUUGGUCAAUGGGCGAGAGCCUGAACCAGCCAAGUCGCGUGAAGGAAGACAGUCCUAAGGAUUGUAAACUUCUUUUAUACGGGAAUAACGGGCGAUACGAGUAUUGCAUUGAAUGUACCGUAAGAAUAAGCAUCGGCUAACUCCGUGCCAGCAGCCGCGGUAAUACGGAGGAUGCGAGCGUUAUCCGGAUUUAUUGGGUUUAAAGGGUGCGUAGGUUGUUCGGUAAGUCAGCGGUGAAACCUGAGCGCUCAACGUUCAGCCUGCCGUUGAAACUGCCGGGCUUGAGUUCAGUGGCGGCAGGCGGAAUUCGUGGUGUAGCGGUGAAAUGCAUAGAUAUCACGAGGAACUCCUAUUGCGAAGGCAGCUUGCCAUACUGCGACUGACACUGAAGCACGAAGGCGUGGGUAUCAAACAGG
rnacentral:rRNA from 1 species